rnacentral:rRNA from 1 species
GACGAACGCUGGCGGCGUGCUUAACACAUGCAAGUCGAACGGAAAGGCCCUGCUUUUGUGUUGUGCUCGAGUGGCGAACGGGUGAGUAACACGUGAGUAACCUGCCCUUGACUUUGGUAUAACUUCAGGAAACUGGGGCUAAUACCGGAUAGGAGCUCCUGCUGCAUGGUGGGGGUUGGAAAGUUUCGGCGGUUGGGGAUGGACUCGCGGCUUAUCAGCUUGUUGGUGGGGUAGUGGCUUACAAAGGCUUUGACGGGUAGCCGGCCUGGGAGGGUGACCGGCCUCAUUGGGACUGAGAUACGGCCCAGACUCCUACGGGAGGCAGCAGUGGGGAAUAUUGCACAAUGGGCGGAAGCCUGAUGCAGCAACGCCGCGUGCGGGAUGACGGCCUUCGGGUUGUAAACCGCUUUCGCCUGUGACGAAGCGUGAGUGACGGUAAUGGGUAAAGAAGCACCGGCUAACUACGUG